rnacentral:tRNA from 1 species
GGUGGCAUGAGUUGGUCGAUGGCGGCGGACUGUAAAUCCGUUUCUCUAAACGGGACGCGUUGGUUCGAAUCCAACCCCUGCGACCA